UACGGAGGGGGCUAGCGUUGUUCGGAAUUACUGGGCGUAAAGCGCACGUAGGCGGCUUGUUAAGUCAGGGGUGAAAUCCCGGGGCUCAACCCCGGAACUGCCCUUGAUACUGGAGAGCUAGAGUCCGGGAGAGGCGAGUGGAAUUCCGAGUGUAGAGGUGAAAUUCGUAGAUAUUCGGAAGAACACCAGUGGCGAAGGCGGCUCGCUGGACAAGUAUUGACGCUGAGGCGCGAAAGCGUGGGGAGCAAACAGG
rnacentral:rRNA from 1 species